UAAGCAUAUCAAUAAGCGGAGGAAAAGAAACCAACAGGGAUUGCCCCAGUAACGGCGAGUGAAGCGGCAACAGCUCAAAUUUGAAAUCUGGCCCCUCGGGGUCCGAGUUGUAAUUUGUAGAGGAUGCUUUUGGUGAGGUGCCGCCCGAGUUCCCUGGAACGGGACGCCACAGAGGGUGAGAGCCCCGUCUGGCUGGCCGCCGAGCCUCUGUAAAGCUCCUUCGACGAGUCGAGUAGUUUGGGAAUGCUGCUCAAAAUGGGAGGUAUAUGUCUUCUAAAGCUAAAUAUUGGCCAGAGACCGAUAGCGCACAAGUAGAGUGAUCGAAAGAUGAAAAGCACCUUGAAAAGAGGGUUAAAUAGUACGUGAAAUUGUUGAAAGGGAAGCGCUUGUGACCAGACUUGGGCGCGGCGGAUCAUCCGGGGUUCUCUCCGGUGCACUUCGCCGCGUCUGGGCCAGCAUCAGUUCGUCGCGGGGGAAAAAGGCUUCGGGAACGUGGCUCCUCCGGGAGUGUUAUAGCCCGUUGCAUAAUACCCUGCGGUGGACUGAGGACCGCGCAUCUGCAAGGAUGCUGGCGUAAUGGUCACCAGCGACCCGUCUUGAAACACGGACCAAGGAGUCGUCUUCGUAUGCGAGUGUUCGGGUGUCAAACCCCUACGCGUAAUGAAAGUGAACGCAGGUGAGAGCUUCGGCGCAUCAUCGACCGAUCCUGAUGUUCUCGGAUGGAUUUGAGUAAGAGCAUACGGGGCCGGACCCGAAAGAAGGUGAACUAUGCCUGUAUAGGGUGAAGCCAGAGGAAACUCUGGUGGAGGCUCGCAGCGGUUCUGACGUGCAAAUCGAUCGUCAAAUAUGGGCAUGGGGGCGAAAGACUAAUCGAACCUUCUAGUAGCUGGUUUCCCCCAAU
rnacentral:rRNA from 1 species